GUAGAGACGGGUUUUGCCAUGUUGGAUAGGCUGGUCGUGAACUCUUGACCUCAAGUGAUCCAUCUGCCUCGGUCUCCCAAAGUGUUGGGAUUACAGGUGUGAGCCACUGCACCUGGCCAAGGAUAGGGCCAAAGGAAUCAUUUGCUAGCAACUGUGAGAAGCUCUGAAUAAGACCGAUCGAGACAGUUAUUAAACUAAUCUGGGAUAAAGGCAAGAACGAGUGUUAAUUCUACCUGGCUUAACACCAACCUAAUUUCUCUGGCAUCUUUCUACAUCAUUGAAAGCAAGUGGGAGCUCCAGAUGACACAAAGCGGAAUGGCAUUUGGUGAUGCAGAGCAGAUGACAGUGGACUUUGCUACCUUAGAGGAGUCAGUGUCUCAUCCCAGCCUUUGCUGGGAGAAACCUUAGCAAAGAGAAGCCCGAAUACCACUGGGCUGCUAAGCUCUCCCUCUCACUGAGGAGUCCAGUGCUAGUGCUAGGCCUUCACUUUCCAGCCUCUUCUCCUCCUGGGUGCUUCAUAUUUGCACAGUCCUUGGAAGAGCUGUGCUUGACUUAAGUUUAGUCAGCUCCUUGAGCUCCUUGAUCUUAUUGCUCCACUGUGUUAGGCUCUAUUUCCCACGUUAACUUUGUGGUACAAGAUGGCUGCUUCAGCUUUAGCCAUUGUGUCUGCAUUCCAGUCAACAGGAAGGACAAAAGAGGAAGAAGGGGACUGUUUUUUUUUUAAAUGACAUCUAGAAAUUGCACACUGUAUAAGCAUUCCAUUUAUUCCCUCCCAUGUUUUGUAAUCCUGUUGUCUUAUGCUAUAAAGC
rnacentral:lncRNA from 1 species